rnacentral:rRNA from 1 species
AUGUCUAGCGACACAUUUCAGAGCAGGAAAUCAAAGGAAAACCGCCUCAGAAAUGGGACCUGCACUUACAGAUGGGAGAAACAGAAAAGAAGGUGCAGAGAUGAGCGCAUAUGUACCGUUGAUCCAGUUUUUGGGGGGCUGGAAAUGGAAGGCGGUCCUGUACUUGCUGCUCACGAUGGACGAGACCUUCUCCGAGUGCGGGUAGAGGACGACCCUAUGGCUACCGGCGGCCGCCGCUUCUGCGCACGGCAGCGAAGAUUCAUCAAAGGGGAAACCCGGGAGGAGGAGGAUGAGGAGGGGACAGCCACAGCCAUGGCGAUGGUGGAACAUGGGGAACGGGAGACAUGGAAGUGCUGA